UACGUAGGGUCCAAGCGUUAUCCGGAAUCACUGGGCGUAAAGCGUGCGUAGGUGGAUUGUUAAGUGCGGUGCGAAAUCCUGUGGCUCAACCAUAUGGACUGUAUCGCAUACUGGCAACCUAGAGGACAUGAGAGGCAAGUGGAAUUACUGGUGUAGCAGUGAAAUGCGUAGAGAUCAGUAGGAACACCAAUGGCGAAGGCAGCUUGCUGGCAUGUAUCUGACGCUAAGGCACGAAAGCGUGGGGAGCGAACAGG
rnacentral:rRNA from 1 species